UUUUACUGAGCCCCGCAUUCCCAGUUCCACUUAGAAUUGAUCGACUCAGUAGACCAGCUUCAACAGCUUAACAGAAAGCUAACCAGCGAGGAAAAACGAAAACUCAUGACAGCUCAGAUGUCAAAAAUUGGUGGAGCUACCCUGCGGGAAAAUGUCAACAAUGUGAUGAAAAGAGUGCUCACAAAUAGCCUAAUGUCUAUAAUGAACAUGGAUGGGACUGGUGACAAGCUGC